AUUAAACUUCAGGGCAGGGUGAAAUUCCCGACCGGUGGUAUAUAAGUCCACGCGAUUGAAAAAUCAAGAACCGGUGUGAUUCCGGUACCGAUAGUAUAGUCUAGAUGAAAGAAGUUGAAA
rfam:Leptotrichia sp. oral taxon 215 str. W9775 genomic scaffold Scaffold110, whole genome shotgun sequence.